rnacentral:ncRNA from 2 species
AUGUUAUCACGAAAGGCAGAGGGAAUAGACCCGUUGAAGCCUUAGCAACCCUUUACACUUAAAGAAGGUGCUAAAUUCUACUACGCACAUGCGCAGAUAGAUAACUC